GUUAUUUUAGUUUAAUUUAGAAUUGAACUUUGAUGAGGUUCGGGUUUAAGAUAACU
rnacentral:tRNA from 2 species